AGGGGACGCAGUUGCUGGGGAGCUGUUUGGGAAAACCAGGCUGACACAGGCAGUGGUGUGUGAAGAAGGUUGGCCUGCCCUGGCCACCAUCACAGGACGGUAAAGCUUCAGCAGGCUAUCUGGUUGUUGUAUACACCACCGGUAACAGACUCCUGAAGGGAAGAAACGGAAGUGCUGAAACCUGCUAGAGACACCUUGUGACUCAAGCUGCAUGUAUACAGAAGGUGCAAACAAAAAUUUGCAAUUCAUAUGAAGGACUGAGUACAGACCACAUAGGCAAGGGGGCUGCUUGACCCUAUGACACAUCAAGGACUUUUCCAGUAAAAAGGAUCAAGAUAUAAAAAGGGAGAACAAAACCCCCUGGCCAUCUCUCCUCUCCCACCUAUACUGAAGACAGAAACAUCAUUGAA